rnacentral:rRNA from 1 species
UACGGGGGGGGCAAGCGUUGUUCGGAAUUACUGGGCGUAAAGGGCGCGUAGGCGGCCUGCUAAGUCGGAUGUGAAAUCCCUCGGCUCAACCGAGGAACUGCAUCCGAUACUGGCGGGCUUGAAUCCGGGAGAGGGAUGUGGAAUUCCAGGUGUAGCGGUGAAAUGCGUAGAGAUCGGGAGGAACAUCAGUGGCGAAGGCGGCCCUCUGGACCAGCACUGACGCUGAGGCACGAAAGCGUGGGGAGCAAACAGG